AUACGUAGGGUGCAAGCGUUAAUCGGAAUUACUGGGCGUAAAGCGUGCGCAGGCGGUUUUGUAAGACAGAGGUGAAAUCCCCGGGCUCAACCUGGGAACUGCCUUUGUGACUGCAAGGCUAGAGUACGGCAGAGGGGGGUGGAAUUCCGCGUGUAGCAGUGAAAUGCGUAGAUAUGCGGAGGAACACCGAUGGCGAAGGCAAGCCCCUGGGCCUGCACUGACGCUCAUGCACGAAAGCGUGGGGAGCAAACAGGAUUAGAUACCCUGGUAGUCCACGCCCUAAACGAUGUCAACUGGUUGUUGGGGAUUUAUUUUCUCAGUAACGAAGCUAACGCGUGAAGUUGACCGCCUGGGGAGUACGGCCGCAAGGUUAAAACUCAAAGGAAUUGACGGGG
rnacentral:rRNA from 1 species